AAUUAUAUUACUGUGAAACAAAUGCUUUACACAAUGUUUUAUUAUCCUCAGAUAAUUAAAUAACUUUGUCAAUCCCCUUACACAGGUGGUUGCUGACUCCCUGAAUACACUUCUCUCUGGCCAAUAACCAACCUACUGUGUCCAGAAGUUAUUCUUUCCAGUGGCUUCUUGGUCUCGCUGACUUCAAGAAUGAAGCUGUGGACCCUCAUGGCGCUUUGAGAAUCUCUAUCUGGAAGACGGAC
rnacentral:lncRNA from 1 species